UACGUAGGGUGCAAGCGUUAAUCGGAAUUACUGGGCGUAAAGCGUGCGCAGGCGGUUGUGCAAGACCGAUGUGAAAUCCCCGGGCUUAGCCUGGGAACUGCACUGGUGACUGCACGGCUAGAGUGUGUCAGAGGGGGGUAGAAUUCCACGUGUAGCAGUGAAAUGCGUAGAUAUGUGGAGGAAUACCGAUGGCGAAGGCAGCCCCCUGGGAUAACACUGACGCUCAUGCACGAAAGCGUGGGGGGCAAACAGG
rnacentral:rRNA from 1 species